GACGAACGCUGGCGGCGUGCUUAACACAUGCAAGUCGAACGGAAAGGCCCUGCUUUUGUGGGGUGCUCGAGUGGCGAACGGGUGAGUAACACGUGAGUAACCUGCCCUUGACUUUGGGAUAACUUCAGGAAACUGGGGCUAAUACCGGAUAGGAGCUCCUGCUGCAUGGUGGGGGUUGGAAAGUUUCGGCGGUUGGGGAUGGACUCGCGGCUUAUCAGCUUGUUGGUGGGGUAGUGGCUUACCAAGGCUUUGACGGGUAGCCGGCCUGAGAGGGUGACCGGCCACAUUGGGAAUGAGAUACGGCCCAGCCUCCUACGGGAGGCAGCAGGGGGGAAUAUUGCACAAGGGGCGGAAGCCGGAUGCAGCAACGCCGCGUGCGGGAUGACGGCCUGCGGUUUGAAAACCGCUUUCGCCGGGGAAGAAGGGGGAGGGAGGGUAAUGGGUAAAGAAACACCGGCUAACUACGUG
rnacentral:rRNA from 1 species